UACGGGAGGCAGCAGUGAGGAAUAUUGCACAAUGGGCGAAAGCCUGAUGCAGCAACGCCGCGUGGAGGAUGACGCAUUUCGGUGUGUAAACUCCUUUUAUCAGAGAAGAAAAUGACGGUAUCUGAUGAAUAAGUCCCGGCUAACUCCGUGCCAGCAGCCGCGGUAA
rnacentral:rRNA from 1 species